GUGCUUGAGGGAUGAACAUUAAGUCCUUUAGAUAUAAAUCCAUCCCAUUCACUUUAUCAGCAACUUAUUCUCUUAUUGCUGAUCAUUGCAGGGUGGAAUAUUA
rfam:Cephalotus follicularis DNA, scaffold: scaffold12689, isolate: St1.